rnacentral:misc_RNA from 1 species
GAAAUGCGAUAAGUAGUGUGAAUUGCAGAAUUCCGUGAAUCAUCGAAUCUUUGAACGCAUAUUGCGCCCUUUGGUAGGUCUAUUAGGCAUGCCUGUUUGAGCGUUAUUUCUCCCUAAUCUCAAGCACUGCUUGGUGAUGGGCGCUUGUCCCGCCCUGCUGCGCGCGGACUCGCCUCAAAACUAUUAGCGGCCGGCAUCCGUUUUUCGCACGCAGUAUACCGCGCGAGUAGAAUUAGGAAGCCCGGCCUCUACAAAAAGGACCCCCAAGAUUGACCUCGGAUCAGGUAGGGAUACCCGCUGAACUUAA